CAAGACAAAGAAGGCUGGUGAGGAAAAGCAUUCACUUGUCCUUCCCUCUAGGAGCUUCCACAAGGCUGGAUAUCUGGUGGAUACUCCUCCAAAAGACCAGCAGCAAUGGAUCACAAGGCAAAGAGCAUUGCAGCGAGUACAAUGAUGGAGAGCACGAGAGGGGCGGAGUCAGUGACAAGUUGCUAUGACAACAUAUGAUGGAGGACUUACAAGGUGACACUGUGGAGUUUGCGUACAACCCAUUGGACGUCUUGCAGUGCAAAUAAAGGAACACAAUUAAGAAAUAGUGAGUACUGCCGCGUGCAGAGUGUGACUCUUUCCCCCACUAGAACUGUGAUCUGAGCAUGUCAUGUGAUAGGCCUUGUCUAGAGCUACAGAAUGCAUCUCUUAGUUUUGAUAUUGAUUGCUUUUUAGUGAAGUUAUGACCUCCUGAAAGUUGCUUAAAUUAUACAUUUUAUGGGGAAAGCGUUGUGUUAAAUCAGGCCUAAGUUUGAGAGCCCCAUAACUUGUGUCAGUCUCCAAGAUAAUGUGUGUAUUUAGUAGUACUACAAGACUGUACAUACACUAUCAAUUAUUGCAGCUCAAGUUGAUUUGAAGAAAUAAAAAUGUUUAAGAUAAUAAUUGUUAUGGUACAAUUAUCUACUAGUGAUUGAGUGGUCUGAUUGUUCUCUCACUUGUUAGAUUCGUGAGGGUCAGUUGUUCACUCUGUUGGAUGCUAAUGAUGAUCCACCCAUUGGACGUCAGAGAAAAUACUAAGAAACAGACUGAACACCAGCCCCCGGCAUGUAUCAUAAGGGACGCUGUACAGAGAUGUUAGGGCAAGUUCCUUUAAUUAGAUCGAGAUAUUGUAAUUAUUUCCUUCUUCCAGGUUGUCGGUGGCUAAACGUGCUUAUAGUUGCCAUGGAGAUGGAGAUGGUAAUUGACUGAAGUCAUGUACCUACCUCUCGAUAGAAGGAAACAAGGAUUUGUCAAUAAUUAUAGUACUGUGAUAAAUAAAUGUUUUGUCAACUUCGAUUCUCUAAGAUCAUAAUUAUUCAUAACUAUAAUUAUACUAUUGUUCUUGUUCUUACAAAACUUUAAAUUAUGUUACGUUGUUUCAUAUUAAUUAUAUAUCGAGUACAGCAGCCAUUCAGUGUUAGGUAGUGCCAGACCAUCAAACCAUCACCUUGUCCAUCCAUAUAAUUAUACACAA